rfam:Sclerotinia borealis F-4128 unplaced genomic scaffold scaffold00272, whole genome shotgun sequence.
GCCCGGCUGGCACAAUUGGUUAGCGCGUGGGCCUUUUAAGCUAGUAUCUAGUCUAUGAAAGCCCAAGGUUGAGAGUUCAAGCCUCUCGUCGGGCG